CCCUGAAGCCAUGUUACUGCAGGCUGUGAUCUUACUACAUCUCAUAAACUAAACAGGGUUGGGCUGGCUUGGUACUUGAGUGGGAGGUCUCCAAAAAGCCUUGAGUACUUCAGGAA
rnacentral:rRNA from 1 species